GGCUGGGCCGGCUUGCGUCAGACUCCGCCUCCCGAGACCACGCCUCGCCGAGUCCCGGAUGUGCUCCAGGAAGGGAUAGGGCAUCUUUCACCCUGAAGUCACGGGAACAACGCUGAGGGGCAGCCAGAGAUUAUGUGGGCUUUUCCAUGGGAAGAACCACUCUACGUUAUCACCUUCUACAUAGUAGCAGUUGAAGCCAAAUGGACAGAAAGCCCGAGACAACAUGAAGUUGUUCUACAAGUUAUUUUGGAGAAAUUGACUUACC
rnacentral:lncRNA from 1 species